rnacentral:lncRNA from 1 species
CCGAAUAUGUAAUGAUUUAAGGCUAUAAGCCGAUUAUGGCUAUUAUGCUUAAGUUGAAUUGGAUUUGGAAAUUUGAUGCACUAAAUGAGUGUUACAAUGAAUAAACUGUGCCGUAUAUGUCCUGGUGGAGAUAUCAUGAUUUGUGAUUAUUAAAUACCUAAAGGAAACCAUGAUGUGUAUAAAAUUAUUAUUAUUAGUCCUUUGUGGUAG